AGGUAUGAGUACAGGUACCUGUGAAGGCCAGGAGGAGGUAUCAGACCUACAAGAGUUAGAGUUACAGGCCAUGAUUUCCCCCUUUAUAGAACAUCUGUUUCAUCGUAAACUUUGGAAGUAUAAAUCCAAAAUAUCUGAACAUGCCCAUAUAGGAUUAUGAGGAGCAGAGACUGUGUGAAAGCAUCUACCUAUAUAUUCUUACUUCUACAAGCAUUUCACUAGAGUGCUGACUCCAGGCUAUUACUCUGUGAAAGUGAAGUUUAAAAGAGCCAAUCUGGAAGAAAAAAAAAAACCCUCUUGCUUGCUUUCCCCA